UGGGGAAUUUUGGACAAUGGGCGCAAGCCUGAUCCAGCCAUGCCGCGUGAGUGAAGAAGGCCUUCGGGUUGUAAAGCUCUUUCGGCGGGGAAGAAAUGGCAACGGCUAAUAUCUGUUGUUGAUGACGGUACCCGCAUAAGAAGCACCGGCUAACUACGUGCCAGCAGCCGCGGUAAUACGUCGGGUGCGAGCGUUAAUCGGAAUUACUGGGCGUAAAGAGUGCGCAGGCGGUUGUGGAAGUCAGAGGUGAAAUCCCCGGGCUCAACCUGGGAACUGCAUUUGAGACUGCACG
rnacentral:rRNA from 1 species